UAGUAUUGCCUCGUUUUUCCCACAGAAUCUACUUGCAGGUUAAAGAUUAUUUUGUUUUCAACUUAUAAUUGCCGUACAAAAUUAUAUCAGAUUUGGCAUAAUUUGAUGGUUUAGAUUAGAAUGUGAGAAUGGCAAAUUUAUAUUGACCUGUUAGCAGAGAUAAUGACUCGGAUGUUGUUAGUUAACAUUAAUGUCAAUACCACAAAAGAAAGAUCAGUUAUCCAGAUGAUGACACUAAUUACAUGUAACAAGUUACAUGCUACAUAUCCUAAAUCAUAGUUCAUACAUGCAUUCAUUACCAUAUCUCUAGUAACAAUAUCAGUUUGAAAGUAACUUCAGUUUAUCCAAUCUAUCGUGCUUGGGGCAGGCUGUCUUCGGGGCUCUAAUAGUUUUCCCCCUGUCCAGCUCAACAGACCGCCCGGUAUAUUUGAAUCAUAUGCCGCACACCAGGAGUUGAUCCGCCCCUCCACAAUCGAGCUUCAGCAGACCUGAAGAAAACCCGCCCAGCCACCUGGAUACCAGGUGCCAGACGUCAACAUACAGCUGAACUGUGGAUACCAGAAAGCAGACCACACUGGGCCACCUCAAAGUCCUGGCUAGCUUCUCAAAGCUCAGUUCCUGGUAGGAACUGAGCUUUGAGAAAACAAUGGCAAUGAAAAUUUGUGGAAACAAAUGCAAUUUAUAGUACUGUCACAGGUGUGAAUUAUUGUCUUAUGACUACUGUAUGUGAUCACAUAUUAUUUCCCAAGAACUACUGAUACUUGUAACCUUAAGCCAGCAUUUUCAUUGUCAGUUUUUGUAUGAAUAUGAACAGAUUAAGAAGUUCUUCAGUAAUUCAUACGUACAUGUGUUGAGGUGCCUUCUCAUAGUUAUUGUUAUUAUAUUCAAUUAUAGAAACAUGUUUCGUUCCACCGAGAUAGAUAACAUAACUACAAAAAUUAUAUAACAUUCUGAAUUAAGAUGAACUAGUGUUUAUUCCAUCCAUAAUUGAUAACGGUAGCUAUUUGUGCAAACUUCUCUGAUUGAAAAGUGCCUCAUGCAGGUUCAUGAGUUUUCUCGGAGAACACUACAUUCCCUACUGCAUGCAUGUUUUGUGGACUCAAUGUGUGGCUUGUGCCACAGAAAGUUGCCCUUCUGUACGUCACUGACCCCUAUG